rnacentral:tRNA from 1 species
AGGAACUUAGGCUAACCUAAACCAAAAGCCUUCAAAGCUUUAAACAAAAGUGAAAAUCUUUUAGUUCCUG